rnacentral:rRNA from 1 species
UUGAGYUUGAUCMUGGCUCAGAUUGAACGCUGGCGGCAGGCCUAACACAUGCAAGUCGAGCGGAAACGAUGGAAGCUUGCUUCCAGGCGUCGAGCGGCGGACGGGUGAGUAAUGCAUGGGAAUCUGCCCGAUAGUGGGGGAUAACCUGGGGAAACUCAGGCUAAUACCGCAUACGUCCUACGGGAGAAAGCAGGGGAUCUUCGGACCUUGCGCUAUCGGAUGAGCCCAUGUCGGAUUAGCUUGUUGGUGAGGUAAUGGCUCACCAAGGCGACGAUCCGUAGCUGGUCUGAGAGGAUGAUCAGCCACAUCGGGACUGAGACACGGCCCGAACUCCUACGGGAGGCAGCAGUGGGGAAUAUUGGACAAUGGGCGAAAGCCUGAUCCAGCCAUGCCGCGUGUGUGAAGAAGGCCUUCGGGUUGUAAAGCACUUUCAGUGGGGAAGAAAGCCUUGGGAUUAAUACUCCCGAGGA